ACAUUCCUUCUCUCUAGGUUAAACAUUGUCAUUUCUUUCAACCAUAUCUCCCACAGUGUAAUUUUUUUAAUCUCAUUAUCCUGGUUACUCUCCAUUUUUCUUGCUCUUGUUUCCUUUCCUUUAAUGCUUCCUCCACAUUUCUUCGAAUUCUUCCUGAGAGUGUUGACUUCUGUAUCCUUGACUACUCAAUAAGAGUGUCUUUUUCAUUCUAUGGAGCAAAACAACUCAAAAUUCUGUUCUAGUGUUAUCGUUUGCCUGUUGGCUUUUGAUAUUGCUGCUGUCAUCCUAAAGUGGUGAUUUUCAAUCUGUGUUCCUGAAAACUGGAGAACUCAGCAGAAGCACCUCCAGGUAGUUGAGGAGGAGCAUACAUAGCACCAAGAAUACUCUAAGGAAGUCUGCCAGGACUACUCCCCCUAAAAACCAAACAUUAUAAGCAUGCAACAAUUUAAUGUCUCUUCAAAUUUCCCUAAGGAAGGGCAUACAGCAAAUGAAGAAAUAUACUAAAUAUUGGCCUACAACAUAUGCCAAUGUAAAGUGUCUUAAAAUAACAGAACAAAGGAGGGGAUGGAAGAGAAGCUGUAUUGGAAAAAAGGAAAUAAUACCAGAUGGUAACUUGAAUCAACAGGAACAAAGAAAGAGACCAGAAAUGUUGUAAGUAAGAAAGGAUUCCUGCCCUGGAGGGGAGAGAGAUCAGAA
rnacentral:lncRNA from 10 species